UACGAGUGCCCCAAGCGUUAUCCGGAAUUAUUGGGCGUAAAGGGUGUGUAGGUGGUCUAGUUAGUCUCAUGUCAAAUUCUUCGGCUUAACCGGGGUACCGCAUGGGAUACGGCUAGACUAGAGGAUGCGAGGGGUGAAUGGAACUCAUGGAGUAGGGGUGAAAUCCGUUGAUAUCAUGGGGAACACCAAAAGCGAAGGCAGUUCACUGGCGCACUCCUGACACUGAAACACGAAAGCGUGGGUAGCGAAUGGG
rnacentral:rRNA from 1 species